GCUAAACGCGAAGAACCUUACCUGGCCUUGACAUCCAUGGAAUCCCGAAGAGAUUCGGGAGUGCCGCAAGGAACCAUGAGACAGGUGCUGCAUGGCUGUCGUCAGCUCGUGUCGUGAGAUGUUGGGUUAAGUCCCACAACGAGCGCAACCCUUGUCCUUAUUUGCCAGCCUGUUUACAGGCGUACUUUAAGGAGACUGCCGUAGAUAAUACGGAGGAAGGUGGGGAUGACGUCAAAUCCUCAUGCCCCUUACGUCCCGGGCUACACACGUGCUACAAUGGUCUGUACAGAGGGUAGCCAAGAAGCAAUUCGGAGCCAAAUCCCAAAAAGACAGGCCCCAGUUCGGAUUGGAGGCUGCAACCCGCCUGCGUGAAGUCGGAAUCGCUAGUAAUCUCAGGUCAGCAUACUGAGGUGAAUACGUUCCCGGGUCUUGUAC
rnacentral:rRNA from 1 species